UACAGAGGUCCCGAGCGUUGUUCGGAUUCACUGGGCGUAAAGGGUGCGUAGGCGGUUCUGAAAGUCUGAUGUGAAAUCUCCGGGCCCAACCCGGAAAUGGCAUUAGAAACUACAGGGCUAGAGGCUUGGAGGGGGAACUGGAAUUCUCGGUGUAGCAGUGAAAUGCGUAGAGAUCGAGAGGAACACCGAUGGCGAAGGCAGGUCUCUGGGCUGACACUGACGCUCAUGCACGAAAGCGUGGGGAGCAAACAGG
rnacentral:rRNA from 1 species